UCCAUUUGCAUCGAGUUUACUUUUUCAUAUUUAUUUCUCUUUUCGUUGUGUUUUUAGGGCAAGCCGCUAUCACUGCAGUGGUUUGUUUCGCAGGAACUUUGGAAGCUUGUAUCGACUUCUAAAUGCGGUUAGUUGACCGAUUUUUGCGACGCCGUUUCGGAUAUCUACGAUUUAUAUCUACGCCAGACACAGCUCCCCUUGUCCCUGAUGGAGAAGUAGAAGAAACGACAAGCGAUAAGUUACCUCCCUUCAACCUUAGGAUAAACUUCAUUUCUCUAGAUUUGUUCUCACCUUGAGUAAAUACUAGUACUCAGGGUAAACGCGUGGUAUUAGCCGCCAUCAGGACUGCCAAGAGAAGAAAAAGAAGAAGAAGAAGAAGAAGAAAAGAGAGGUGGAUAAAAGAGCAUAUUUUGAUGCUAGGUGUUAGGGAUUGGGCUUGAACAGCAUUGAGAAGGAUGCGCUACUAUCUAGUUACCGAUAGCCUCCAAUGCAAUAUUUUGCCUCCCAAACCAGCCGUGUUUGUCUACCAAGAAUUUUAUGUAGUUAUGACUUUUUGUUGCACUUUAAUUCCUUUUAUAUCCCAUUGCUAUUACUUCCUAAUUGACAAUUAUAUGCGUGAAUCUCUGAAAUUGCAUAACUUAUUACUUUCUGUGAAUGCAUUCGUACAACAAAAAUUUUCGAAAAACCCCCCAAUCAAUACCGUCCAUAUCCGUCAUUGCGGUUACCAUUAUAUCCAUUCUGUCCAUGGUGAUAUGGUCCACCACGGCCUCCACCCCUGUA
rnacentral:sRNA from 1 species